UGGGGAAUCUUGCACAAUGGGCGAAAGCCUGAUGCAGCGACGCCGCGUGCGGGAUGACGGCCUUCGGGUUGUAAACCGCUUUCAGCAGGGACGAUAAUGACGGUACCUGCAGAAGAAGCCCCGGCCAACUACGUGCCAGCAGCCGCGGUAAUACGUAGGGGGCAAGCGUUGUCCGGAUUUAUUGGGCGUAAAGAGCUCGUAGGCGGUUUGGUAAGUCUGGUGUGAAAUCUCCACGCUCAACGUGGAGGGGCCACCCGAUACUGCCAUGACUGGAGUCCGGUAGAGGAGUGUGGAAUUCCCGGUGUAGCGGUGAAAUGCGCAGAUAUCGGGAGGAACACCCGUAGCGAAGGCGGCACUCUGGGCCGGUACUGACGCUGAGGAGCGAAAGCGUGGGGAGCAAAACA
rnacentral:rRNA from 1 species